AAUAGAUACCCAGGUAGUCCACCCCGUAAACGUUGGGAACUAGUUGUGAGGACCAUUCCACGGUUUCCGUGACGCAGCUAACGCAUUAAGUUCCCCGCCCUGGGGAGUACGGCCGCAAGGCUAAAACUCAAAGGAAUUGACGGGGACCCGCACAAGCGGCGGAGCAUGCGGAUUAAUUCGAUGCAACGCGAAGAACCUUACCAAGGCUUGACAUAUACGAGAACGGGCCAGAAAUGGUCAACUCUUUGGACACUCGUAAACAGGUGGUGCAUGGUUGUCGUCAGCUCGUGUCGUGAGAUGUUGGGUUAAGUCCCGCAACGAGCGCAACCCUCGUUCUAUGUUGCCAGCACGUAAUGGUGGGAACUCAUGGGAUACUGCCGGGGUCAACUCGGAGGAAGGUGGGGAUGACGUCAAAUCAUCAUGCCCCUUAUGUCUUGGGCUUCACGCAUGCUACAAUGGCCGGUACAAAGGGCUGCAAUACCGUAAGGUGGAGCGAAUCCCAAAAAGCCGGUCCCAGUUCGGAUUGAGGUCUGCAACUCGACCUC
rnacentral:rRNA from 1 species